CAUCAAAACUCCGCCCUCCUUCAGAAGAAACUGAGCAUUUCCUACUUUUCUGCUGUCUAUACGUUUGAUUUGCACAGCUCAGCUGGCCAGAGGAGCUGAGACAUCCGUUCCCCUACAAGAAAUUCUCCCCGGAUUGAGCAAAAUGGACUACGAAACCACGAGUCCGAUGGACUAUGGCAUCGAUUACAGCAUAUCAGAUCCCUGCCAAAAAAUCGACGUGAGGCAGAUCGCAGCCCAGCUCCUGCCCCCGCUCUACUCGCUGGUGUUCAUAUUUGGUUUCGUGGGCAACAUGCUGGUCGUCCUCACCCUGAUCAACUGCAAAAAGCUGAGGAGCAUGACUGACAUCUACCUGCUCAAUCUGACCAUCUCUGACCUGCUGUUUCUUCUCACCCUUCCCUUCUGGGCCCACUAUGCGGCAAAUGGGUGGGUCUUCGGGAAUGUAGUGUGUAAACUAUUCACCGGGCUGUAUCACAUUGGCUAUUUUGGUGGAAUUUUCUUCAUCAUCCUCCUGACAAUUGAUAGGUACCUGGCGAUUGUCCAUGCCGUGUUUGCUGUAAAAGCCAGGACAGUCACCUUUGGGGUGGUGACAAGUGGGGUCACCUGGGUGGUGGCUGUGCUUGUCUCUCUCCCAGGGAUCAUCUUUACCAGAUCCCAAAAAGAAGGUUCUCGUUAUACAUGCAGCCCUCAUUUUCCAUCAAGUCAGUAUCAUUUCUGGAAGAAUUUCCAGACUUUAAAGAUAACCAUCUUGGGCCUGGUGCUGCCACUGCUUGUCAUGGUCAUCUGCUACUCGGGAAUCCUGAAAACCUUGCUUCGGUGUCGAAACGAAAAGAAGAAGCACAAGGCUGUGAGGCUCAUCUUUGCCAUCAUGAUUGUCUACUUUCUUUUCUGGGCUCCCUACAACAUCGUCCUUGACCUGAGCACCUUCCAGGGCUUCUUUGGCCUAGAUAAUUGCGAUAGCUCUAACAGGCUGGACCAAGCCAUGCAGGUGACAGAGACUCUUGGGAUGACACACUGCUGCAUCAACCCCAUCAUCUAUGCCUUCGUUGGGGAGAAGUUCCGAAACUACCUCUUGGUGUUCUUCCGAAAGCACGUUGCCAAACGCCUCUGCAAACAUUGUUCAAUCUUCCAGCGGGAGGCUCCCGAGCGAGUAACCUCAGUAUAUACUCGAUCCACGGGGGAGCAGGAGAUCUCUACAGGUCUGUGAGCUGGACUCAGUCACGUACACGGCUCAGCUACACACAGCCUAUGGUGGGAGAGACCCUUUCAAAAGGGAUGUUACUGCCACAGAGGGCCUGAGAGUCACACAUCUCUUUGGCAUCCAUUUGAAGAAUAUGAGAUAUUUAAGCCUGUGCAUUCUAGAAAGCUGAAUCAAAAUAUGUUGAUGAAAUAGCAACCUUCUCAUCUCCCCUCCACAGAUAUCUACUUACGGGCAACCUCUUCCUUUACUGCAAAUAUUCGUUACAGACAAAAAAAAAAGUCAGAGAAUUGUUAGUUCUUGAAUUUGGUUGCCUGAACAGGAAUAACAAAAUUAAUCAAGGAGUUUAUCGUAGCGCUUCUUACCUUGAGCAAGCCAAUGUGCAGGCUGUAAAUUUGCGUCACACAAGGUCCUCGUCCUGCCUUGGGGAGAAAAGCCAUGAGCAGGAGGGCUAAGGAACUACAUCGGCUGCGUGUGGUUUCCCCUGGAAGGUAUACAUGGCUCUUAAGCUCUACUGGGGUUCAGAGCCAGUUGUCUUUCAGAAGCAGCUGGAUAAAACCAGCCCCAGGGACAUGCGCAGAACAUCCACGUGUGACCUUCCACCAGGGGCACUGAGGAGCUGAAGCUGCAGCUGGGGAAUGGAACUCGGGGAGAGAGAGACUGCAGAGGUGCAACACCCCGUAAUAAGUCCUGCUAUGAAUCCCAGAGGCCUCUGGGACAGGAGCCAUCUUAGAAAGGUGUUGCGUGUGCACCGUAGUUAACAUAUCCCCCACCUAUGCCUAUGAAUAAACACGAAUCUUUUCCCACCCAAAAACUUUUAAAAACCCAGGCAAGUCUUUUGUUCUGUGAGAUGGGGGUAAGCAUAGCUUAGGCCCUCCUCACCUCCGCUUGCAAGCCUCUUCAAUAAAGCUUUGCCCGUGUGGAAAACUCUGCAUGCCUCACCUGUUCAUUCUUGACCAGUGAGAGGCAAGAACCUCAUUUCAUUCUGGCAACAUUUAAGCAUCUGUCAUUUGUCUAGGUUUGAAAGUGAAGAAGAUAAGUGUUAAAAGAGAGAAAACGGGAACAGGACUUGCCAGGUUCCCCUGAGUGUGCGGGAACAUUCACGAAGGCUGCUGGCCAGUCUGAAAUGCAUCCAAGAACAGACAAAAGAAAUAAUGUAGAGAUAAAAAAAAAAAACACCCAAGAACAGACAAAAGAAAUAAUGUAGAGAUAGGUAAUCAUAAAAUCUCAAACCUCCUCUGGGACAAGACAACUGUGAUAACCAUGAAGAUAUUUAAAGUUUAUCCUUUGCAAAGAAUUUAACUUUAGGCGAUUUUGAAUGAAUGGAGGCCAUAGAAACCACCUAGUAACCCAAUGUCAGCCGAUCUCAGAAAGGGGCGCAGGGUUUUAAUCAAUCCUGUUGAGACUAGCCAAUGGUUUAUUUUUCCUGUUUCCUCCUCUUCCCCUUAAAAGUCUCACUGUAACCAGCUUGCAUUGAGCCACUAGUUUUUUAGAAAAAAAUGGUCUCCCUGUAUGCGUACAGAACAGCUGCUUGAAUAAACACUGUAUGCUUUAAUUCAUUGGUGCUUUGAUUAUUUUUUGCACAAUUAAUGCCAUGGCCUGGCCAUUUAUCCCCAGUCCUGAGUUGCAGACACAUGACGUGUGAGGAUGAGUUUGGUUGCUGUAAAGGUUGCUAUGCUUUUCUUUCAUCUCCAUCCCUCCAAAAAAAAUUGGCUGCAAUCCAGUGAUGGUAAUGGUGAACAUCUGGAUUCGGUUCAAGUGUCUCACAUCCUGAGUACCCCAAGUAGAGAGGAUUCUAAAGCACUGGCCACAGUCACACUGGGAGACGACACAUGAGCCGAGCAGAAGACAGUGGAACUGGUUCUUAGGGUGGCCUCUCAGCAACUCUUUUGGCCAAAAGGUGGAAUGAACCAAGGGAGGGUCUGAGGGGGUGGGGUUAGAAUAGAGGGAAGGGAUCAAAGAGAAGAGAGAUACUUCCCAUGUGGUGAAGGUAGCCACCAUGUGGCAGUUGGAAGAUGCCAAUUCUUAAGGCUGGUGUCCAGGUACUGCUUAGCCACUUCCUAUCUUAUUAAAGGAAUCUAAUGUUAACUUGAGGAAAAAGCUAUUAGAGGUGUCUGCAGCCUUUCCAAGGCCUGUCUCAACCAUGUCCUGGGCCCAUCCCUUUACUGCUUGCUGUCCUGGAUCUUGAGCCCUGAGCUCCUCCCUGGCUUUGAAGGUCCUUCCACUCCCCAUCUCUUCUCUCCCUGUUCCUUUGAUUGACAAACAAGUACAACCUUCAAGAUCUGAUUCUAUUCACCAUUCUUUGGGAGGUACCAUACUGCCUCAACCCAAAAUUUCCCAUCAAGGAGGGGGUUCUGUAUAUGCCAUGGAUAAAAUCAAAGUUAAGGUUAAAGUCCUUAACAGGAAGAAAUAAUUUGCGAAUUCAUGAAUAAGGAUUCUCUUUACAUCUGUAUUCUAAGGAUUCUUAGUAUAAGCAGCUCUGUAUAAAUUAAAACACAUUGACAUUUCCACUGUUAUGAUUAAAUCGACAAGUCAUUUAUUUCCUAUCCCAGGGAGAGACAGAAUCCCAAACUUGAACAUCAACUUUCAAAUGUUAAUUCCUCUAAUGAAGACACAAGGCUUACUGCCAGUUACCCUGGAGGCUAGGAUUAGAAAUGUGAAUCAGAAAACAAGUCGUGAACUUUCUAACAAUUCUUUAGUUUUUUAACAUAUCCAUUUACCUAUAGUCAAAGUGGAGCUCUGGUGGCUCAGUGGUUAAGAGCUUGGCUGCUAACCAAAAGGUCAGUAGUUUGAGCCCACCAGCUACUCCUUGGAAACUCUAUGAGGCAGUUCUACUGUCUUACAGGGCCAGUAUGAGCCGGAAUCAAAUCGACUUGAUGGCAACGAUUUGGUGUUUUGUUUGUUUGUUUUUUAUAGGCAGAGUAUUUAGAAAGCAUUCCAUAACUUCAGGGAUGAGAAUGAAUUGAAGAGGCAAAAACACAAAUGCAUUUCCAUAGCUCCUUCUCUUUUAAAUAAAAUUCACUACAAAAGCCUUGCUUGUAAUGCUUAAUGGGUACUGAGUUUCUGUUUGGGAUAAUUUAAAAGUUUUAGAAAUAGACAGGUGGCGUAGUGAUUAAGAGCUACAGCUGCUAAUCAAAAGGUCAGCAGUUCGAAUCCACCAGGUGCUCCUUGGAAACUCUAUGGGGGCAGUUUUACUCUGUCCUAUAGGGUCACUAUGAGUCAGAAUUGACUCGACGGCCACAGGUUUCUGUUUUUUUUGGUUUCGAUGGUUGCACAACAUUGUGAAUAUAAUCAGUGCCACUGAACUGUACACUUAAAAAUCAUUAAAAUGGCAAUUUAUGUAUUUUACAAUUAAAAAAAGUUCUCAUGUUUUUUCAAAACAUAGACUUCAAUGUUUUAAAUGCUGUAUUUAUGCAUAAAAGUCAUAAUUGUGACAAAAUUCCCACUUUCCUUCAUACUUUUAUAUAAGCAUUUUUCCAAGUCUUACUGAAUGUACAUGGCUCUGUAACCCAACGAGAUUCUUGUCCUGUCCUAUUAAAUUAGCCGAUGGAAAUAAUACGGACACCACACUGCCAGUUGCAAGGGAAACAGAAAGUGGAAAUUUAUUGUCUGCACAGACAAGGAGCAACGAGGGGCCUAGCAACCAUAAGACCACAUGCUCACUGUCUGAGGGGUUUGGGGAACUUUUUAUUUCCAAUGGCAUCUGGGAGGUUGUGUUUGGCACCCAGAACUCUCCACCUUUAGCCCUCCCAUGUCCACAUUUAGAGGUCCGGAUGUUGAAUCACGUCAGUGAUGCUCAGGUCCAAGGACGAGCACGGGAUUCUGGUACCAAACUCAAACUGCAGUUAGGGCAACAAUGUGGUCGGGCCAAACCGCAGUUAGAAGCCCUGGCUUGGCAGGCUGCAAGGUGGGGGGUAACUAUGGCAGAGCGGGUGGGAUAUCUCGGUGGAAGCUUCAGCUCCAUAUUGUUAUUACUUUCUUUUGAUUAUAAUUUUUGUGUCAUUAUAAUUCUGUUAUGUUAUUUUUCUUAAAGUGGUAACUAGUUUCAAAGAGCAUAUGUGGAAAGACGAAAGUUUUUUCCAACUAAAUUCAAUGGAAAGGCCUUCAAAGCCACGCUUUCAAGACCCCUGGGACAUACAGUAUCCCACCCAUUUUUAUGCCUCUGGAGUUCUUUGGAAAGGGGGUAGUCCGAUUUUAACCCAUUUAGCCUCGAGGAAGGAGCCUUUCAAAAUGGUUGAAACUCAGAAAUCCUCAUUGGGAGCCUCAUUUUUGUGUACAUUGAACAUUGCCUUAGGUGAUACCUCCCAGAUGUGUGAAUCUUCUAAACUUUGGACAAGUUUGUCCUUAUUUCUGUGCAAUAAGCCUCCUCACUAUACUUCCCAGUUACUGUGUUCUCAUAAGAAUGCACUUAAUGGAAGAAUAAGUUAUUGCCAGUCUUCAUUCAGUCACAGUGGCCAUUUUCUCCUUUAUGCCAUUCAUUAUUCCCAAGUGUUACUGGCUCCUUACUUUUCUAGCUUCUGAACAGUGAAUAAUGCCUUUCCCAUAAGAAAUAAUGCACUUCAGUUAGGGCCCAAUCAUUGCUUCCUUGUGUAGCAGGUGGAACGCACCACUGUGAGCAGUUCUGCAGUAUUCCCGGGCAGCCGUUUCUGCUUCUUAGCUGUUAGUACUGCUUUUGUUGUAAUGAAGAAUACAUAGUAGUGGUAAUUUUCCUGCGAUUCAAAUUCCUUUAGUUUUGUUUAUUUUGCCUCUAAGUACUGCUUUUGCAGUAAUGAAGACUGCAUUGUAGUGGUAAAUUUUCUGAGAUAAAAAAAAAAUUCUUUUUUUUUUUUAUUUAUAUGUGCUAUAAGUGCUACUUUUGCUGUAAGGAAAUGUCAUGAAUCGAAUUGUGUCUCCCCAAAAUAUGUGUCAACUUGGUUAGGCCAUGAUUCCCAGGAUUCUGUGGUUGUCCUCCAUUUUGUGAUUGUAAUUUUAUGUUAAAGAGGAUUAGGGUGCAAUGUAACACCCUUACAAGGUCACAUCCCUGAUCCAAUGUAAAGGGGGUUUCCCUGGGAUGUGGCCUGCACCACUUUUUAUCUCUCAAGAGAUAAAAGGAAAGGGAAGAAAGCAGAGGUCCGGGGACCUCAUACCCCCAAGAAAGCAGCGCAGGAUGCAGAGCACAUCCUUUGGACCCGAGGUUCCUGCACUGAGAUGCUCCCAGACCGAGGGAAGACUGAUGACAAGGACCUUCCUUCAGAGCCGAUAGAAAGAGAAAGGCUUCCCCUGGAGCUGACAACCUGAAUUUGGACUUGUAGCCUACUAGACAGUAAGAGAAUAAAAAUCUCUUUGUCAAAGCCGUCCACUUGUGGUAUUUCUGUUACAGCAGCACUAGAUGGCUGCUAUAGGAAGAAUGCGUUCUCCGUGUUUCAAAGUUUCAUGAAAAAUAAUAAGGCUAAGAAGGAGACUACAAUAAAGUGUAUGUGCAGUCAUUACCAGGUGCCUUCAUAUUUCAUCUCAUGUUUUGCAAAUUUUCAAGAAGUAAAAUUUAAAAAUUAAAAAAAAAAAACAAAAAACUUUAUCAUUGACUCAUAUUGGCAGGAUUUACAUUGUCCAGUGUAUGCUGGGAUACAUGGGAUCCCAAAUAAUAGGUAUCAAAAUUCAUAACUCAUAACAAAAAUUCUGAACUAGUCCUUUAAUCAGCAUGCCUUCAUUAGUGAAAACACACAGUAUCAACAAAAAAUUCAGGGGAGAAAACAGUUGGGUCUUGAAAGGGUUAAUAGCCUUGGACUCUACUGCCCCCCUGUGGCUACUUUAGGAAAACAACAAGCCACCUGCAGCCAGACUUUCUCUGUUAUUCUGUGUGCAUUGUUCACAGAGAAUAUAUACUGAGUAUUUAUACACUCAGCGGUUUCGUGUUUGUCUCUGACAGUGCCAUUCUGCCUGUGGACAAGAGGUGUUUCCAUAGUGGCUCAGAGUUGAUGAUGCACAACUCACUCCAGUUUUUUCUCUGAAGGACAGGAGCAGCAUCAGUGAAGGAGAGAGGUAGAACCUGUGGUGAAAUGAAGGUUCCAACUUCCCACGGAAAUCUCUGCAGAGCCCUUAGCUCACAGCCUUACAACAAGGCCAGAAAAGGCUUUGUGUCAAACCAUUUCUCGUAGUCCAUGAGAUGCCCCAAGAACUUCCCACAUUUAUCUCUGCAAUCCUGUGUGCCCAAGUGUGUGAAGCAAUCAAACCCAAUUGGGAUAUAACCCAACCCAGUGCCGCUGAGUCGAUUCCGACUCAUAGCGACCCUAUAGGACAGAGUAGAACUGCCCCAUACAGUUUCCAAGGAGUGCCUGGCAGAUUCGAACUGCCAACCAUUUGGUUGGCAGCCGCAGCACUUAAAAGUGGGCUCUUUUUUAUUCGUGUUUUUCUUCCUCCAUUACCGUUAAUGCCUCUAUUGGUUAAACCCUCUGACAGAGUCAUAUCAUUUGAAGACAGAAAGGUUUUUAAGGAUCAGUCAGGUGAAGAGGAGAACCCACCCCAAUCCCCAGAGCUUCCGAUGGAGUCAGUCUGGCGUGGGUCUAAGCACCUGGUAUGUGUUUAAUUUCAUGCAGUGCUCCCUAUGAGCAGCCAAUGGUGAACCACUGAGCAGGACUCAGGAGAGCAGCUCUAACCACCCUCACAACUGGCACCUGUGCUAAUUUAGGGUCCUUGGGCCUGGAAUUUGGGGUCCCUUGGAAACUCUAGGGGGCAGUUCUACUCUGUCUUAUAGGGUCUCUAUGAGUCAGAAUCAGUUCGACGGCAACAGGUUUGCUUUUGGGGGGGUGGCACGGUGGUUAAAGCACUCAGCUGCUAACCGAAAGGUCGGCAAUUCGAAUUCACCAGGUGCUCCUUAGAAACCCUAUGGCGCAGCUCUACUCUGUUCCGCAGGGUCUCUAUGAGUCGGAAUUUACUCAGCAGCGAUGGGUUUAGUUUUUUUGUCUAGAGGAAUAAACCAAAUAUCAAACUUCUGGUCUGAUAUAGACCCUACAGCUCAAGGCAAACUGGGAGAAUGGAAGUUGCAGGCCAAUUGCCCACAUCCCUCCCUCCAGGACUCCCACAGAAGCAUAUGCCAAGGAGAAACAAAGUACAAACCAAUGUGCCAAAAACUAGGCAAGCCCUGGAUACCAAUGAGAAGUUCUGGGAAAAUUCCAGGGCAGACACAGUUUAGAUAUAGUGUGAUUUCUUAUCCCAACCCGAAAUCUACACUUGGGACCCACACCCUCAGGUGUGUCUGUGGAAAAGGGAUGCAACAAAGAGAUCCCAAGUUCACACCUCCUCCCAUGGAGGCAGGGGUAGUCAGAGUGGGAGAAGGAUGGGAAGCGUCUUCCAAUUAUCCCCUGAGGGGAGAGAGAGAACUUGGGCAGAAGUUCUGCCCUUCCUCUGAGCAGAAGCAGAAGCAUGGGGAGAGGGGAAGUGAGCAAGGAUCUCCCCAGUGCACUUCAAUUCUGCAUUAACCAUUUGCAGCUCAACAUUCAGCAUUCAUUCACUCAACAAGCAUUUACAGAGGACUUACUAUGUGCAAGACACCAAACUAUGCCAUGAAAGAGAGUCCCUGUCCUCACAAGAUUCACUAUUUAGAGAGAAAGCAGGCACAUAAAGUUACACUGGUGUUUGAAAAGCACAGAGAAGGGUAAGUUAUCCCAAACCAAGGAUAGGGCCUUAGGGAACGGGGUCAGGGAGGGCAUACUGCAGUAGUCUAGUGUUAAGGGUGGCUUAGAAGCUGCUUAGGUGGAGCACGGGAGUAGUAACAAUGUACAGGAGUGUGCAGAGGUGAGACAAUGCAAAUGGCAAGGCAAGGAUGAGACAGAUGAUGGAUGGAUGGACGGAGGCUGUGAGUGUGAGCGUGAGCAUGAGUGGCUAUCCAUCUGCACGCAUUCCCCCUGCAGGAGAGCAGCAGCAGUGACUAGUAUGGAGGUAAGGAGAGGACCAAAAAGUGCCGCCUCCAGCCUCCCCCUGGAUAAAACGGGACAGGGAGUCUCCCCAAAACAGCACACACAUGCGUUAACUAUUCAUGACCAACCUUCCACAUUCACUCAUUAAUUACCAACAUUCAUUGAGUGUUUACUGUGUGCAAUUUCUAUGUCAAGCUGUCAAGUGUAGAGUUUAUCUUACAGACCACAGAAACCACUGCGCUGUUAAGCAAGAGAGUGACAUAAUCACACCAGCUUUGCUUUUUUAGAAAAAGUCUUCUGACCAUAGGGAAAAGGAGAGAGACUCCAAGAUGGAGCAAGCGAGUCACGAGCUUGCUGUAGUCAUCCUUAACCAGGCCCGAGUGGAGGCAGAGGCGCCAGGGUGGAGAGGAGGCAAGGGUCCCCUGGGGCCAGGGGCCGAGGCCUCCAGGAAGCAGUUAUUCCCAGAAAGCUGACGCUCACCUCUUUUAGUGUCAGUUUUAACAUAAUCAUUUUGUAAAGAAAGUCCUCUUAAAAAAAAAAACAAAAAAAAACCUGUUGCUGUCAAGUCGAUCAACUCAUAGCUGCCCUAAAGGACAGAGAAGAGCUGCCCCGUAGGGUUUCCAAGAAGAGCCUGCUGGAUUCGAACUGCCACCCUUUUGGGUAGCAGCCGUGGCUUUUAACCACUAUACCGCCAGGAUUUCCAUAAAUAUUAAACAAUGAAAUUAUACGAUGUCUGAGAUUUGCUUUAAAAUAGUUCAUUGGGGUGAAGGGGAAAAUGUUGGAAGUAUGGCUGAAACAAGGUUGGCCGUAUGUUGGUUAUUGCUCAGGCUGGGUGAUGGGUACGUGGUGGUUUAAUAUACUAUUCUCUACCCAUGUGAUAUGUGAACAUUUUCAGCCUCGAAAGCCCUGUGGAUCAGUUCUAAUCUGCACACAUGGGGUCACCAUGAGUUGGGAUCAACUUGAUGGCAACCAACAACAACGCAACAAUAAUAAAAAAAAGUCAGAAAGAAUGAGAGAGGGGGAGAGAGAAUAGGAAAAAGAAAGAUGGGGAAGGAGAGAGAAAAGAAGGAAGAAAGGAUGGAGAGAGGGAGGAGGGUAGAAGGCAGGAAAGAAGGAAGAAAGGAAGGAAAGAAGGGUUUCUUUUCAAGGGCUACUGCAGUGGACACAAAUUAGAGAGGCUGACCUACCUACCACGAAUUCUAAUGUGUGCUACCCAAGGUGAGCCAACCAGGUCUUCACUCCGAGAAAUGAUAGCCUGACUGUCACUGGCAGUGCCCCAGAGAGAGGGUCCAUGACCACCAGGAGGGGAGAUAUUCCUACACAGAACAGCUCUGGAUAACAUCCUUCCCAAGGCCAGGUGCUCUGCAAUUCCUUCCAUCCUGUAGCCUACCAAAACAGUCUCCAAACACUCCUUGCAUGGCCAGGUGAGCCUAAGUUUCUCUCUCUGCUGCCUGUACCUGGAGCACCUUAACUAAUACAGACUCAAAAGGCUCAACUUUUCCCCACACUCAGAAACAAGUAUUUCUCCACUCCAUGCUUUUUAGCUGCUCUUCUCUCAUUAGCUUUUUGUGGUAGAGGGGGCAAGUUUUCACAUACCGAUACACAGGUACUCAUUUACCAGUCAUUUCUGCUACCAGGUGUUUGCCUGUUCUUUUAGAAAUUGCUUUCAUACAAAACCUGUAUUAAAUUUAAAACAAUGUCAGUUUUGGUCAGUGGAUCCUUUUUCCUAGCAAAGUGCUACCUCACCCCCCUGGUCUUUCUCCUCUGUCAAAACCUCCUAUCCAGUUCUUCACCCUCCAAGAAGUCAUAGCAGAUCACGGUGGAAAGUGUCACUAAUACAGGGAAGUUUCAUUUACAAUGAUUCAUUCAACAAACAUUUAUGGAGAAGCUAGUGUGCUGGGUGCUAGCAUAUAAUAGGCACCAGUUCUUAUGUUGAAGGAGCGAUGUAGGAGUCUAGAGACAGGAGCCCAACAGAUACACAGCUACAGUCGAGAGUGACACACGCUCCACACACACAGGAUGGCUCCUAGCCUGGGGCUGGGCCCUCAGAACUGGCUCCUGACGAGGACAAUGGCUCAGCUACUACCCGAGAACCGAGGAUAAACCUCCGAUUCCUCCCAGUAUAUCAUCCCACACACUCAGGAGCACAAGUGACACUGGUUUAUAACCAAGCAUGCUUUUCCUCAUUCUGACCUUCAUUUAUUCUCGUUCAAGUUCAUCCUCCCUAGCACGUUCAAUCCAAUCCCAUGACUUUUCAACCAAAUUCAAGAUGCACAAGACUCACCGUCCCAGUGCUUCCUCACCAAAUUUUCUCUCACCCCAUGGUUGAUUCCUCUAGCGCAGCUGUUCUCAGCUAGGGGUCAUUCCACCCCCACCCCCACAAGGAACAUCAGGCAAUGUCUGGGAACAUUUCUAGCUGUCACAACAGAAGAGGGGGAAGGCUACUGGCAUCUAGUGAGUGGUGGCCAGGACUGCUGCUUAACAUCCUACCAGACACAGAACAACCUCCAUGACAAAACUUAUCCAAUGCCAAAUGUCAACAGUGUCACGGUUGAGAAAACCUGCUUUCAUGAUUUUGCCUUGCUUUAGCCUCAUCAAGGAGGACUCUGGGGCAUGUGCUGGCUGGGUCAGGCCCCUAGAAGACUUCUGCAGCUUACUCUAGAUCAUGGAACAUUCUGGAUUCUUUGCAUGGUAUCUUAGUUAUCUGGCGCUGUUAUAAUAGAAAUACCACAAGUGGAUGGCUUUAACAAAGAGAAAUCUACUCUCACAGUCUAGGAAGCUAGAAGUCUGAAUUCAGGGUGCCAGCUCCAGGGGGAGGCUUUCUUUCUUUGUUGACUCUAGAGGAAGGUCCUUGUCCUCAAUCUUCCCCUGGUCAUGGAGCUUCACCACACAGGAACCCCAGGUCUAAAGAACACACUCUGCUCCUGGUGAUGCUUUCUUAGUGGUGUCUUGGUGAUGCCUCUCUGCUUGCUUCUCUCUUUUACACCUCAGAAGAGAUUGGCUUACGACACAACCUAAUUUUGUAGAUUGAGUCCUGCCUCGUUUACAUAACUGCCUCUAAUCCUGCCUCAUUAACAUCAUAGAGGUGGGGUUUACAACACGUAUCAGAUGGCAAAAUAAUGGACAAUCACACAAUAUUGAGAAUCACAGCCUAGCCAAAUUGACACACAUUUCUGGGGAACACAAUUCAGUCCAUAGCACAUGGCCACAGGAGACACCGACUGUCCACUGGCACUCUAUCCUUGCCCAACCAUUCAUGUCAUUCCAUCACUUCCACUGCCUUCCCUCAUCUGUUGACACAUGACAUACCCACAAUGAAUCCUACUAGGGACCAGAAUGCCAGGUUCUCAGUCCUCCCCAUGCCUGAGUAGACCACGUGAGCGUGUAUCCUUAGCUGUCCUUAGGUCAUAACAGUUCUACGUGUCUAGUAUCUUUCUCAGUGGCCUGUUUAUGUGUGUGUGUUAGGGGAUCUCUUACACAAGUAGAAAUUAUAAGAAAAAGUACGUACAUGUAGAGUAGAGAGAGGCAUUUCAGGCAGGGGAAACAGUGUGUGGAAAACAUGGAGGCAUGGGAAGGAGGCAGCUUCAGAGAACAGCAAGUGGUUUACAUGCAUAGAAUGUGAGCUGGGCGUGGAAGGAAAUAGGACUGGAACCUGGGAGUGGAGGACGUGAGGACAGGCCUUGCACACUGUGUUAAGGAGUGUGGGGCUAAUGGCUUGGAGGGGGGUUUUAAGCUAGGGAGAAACUUCAUAUUUUGGACUAAUCUGAUUGGCCCUGGCCAUGUAGAAGAAAGUAAGAAUGGAGACAGAGACCCUCAACAGAGGUCAGAUAGUGCUCCUUCUGAGACACAAUGGAGCUGCUCCCAAGGUACAAGAGCUCUGAGUGGAAAGAAGUGAAUGGAUGGAAAGCUAUGAAGGAGGACAAACCAUCAGGACCUGGAUUUAGGGAGGGAGUCAGGGAGGUCAAGGCAGGGCCAGUGAAAUGGGGAGCACUGGCUUCAAGGUGUGCAAUGAUGGGCUCCAUUUUCAGACAGGUUGACUUAGAGAUCCUGAGAACAUUCAGGUGGCAGUGUUGGGGAGGAGCUGGGUGCACUGGCCUUGAACUUAGCAGUGCAAAGGAUGGAGUUCUACAUCUGGAGGUCACGGGCAAUUAGAGGCCAGUGACUGUGGGAGUGGAUGAGAUGGAUCCCUGAGGAACACAGGCAUGAAAAGGAGCCCCAAAGAAGACCAAGAAGAUGUGCCAAGGAGGGUGGACAUUGUAGAGAAGACAGCUGUCUCUCAGGAAGAGGGAGUGUCACAAUGUCAAGUGCUGCAGAGACGCCAAGCAAGAUAAAGGCGGAAAAAACACCUCCUGACUCCAGGAAGCAACCAGAAUAACAGGAUAACUUGAUACUUGUGCUUUGUCUCGUCCUGCAACCAACCAUGACAAGGGGCUGCAAAGUAAUAUUGUGUCCUUACACCUAGAAAAACACAGCUUUAGUCCCCAUGUUCUGGGUCCUCCAGAGGGGCCAGGACCAGGCUUUGUGGUACACUGGGGGAGCGAAAUGGGCCCUGGUGGUGCAGUGGGUAAAGCUAACUGAAAGGUCGGUGGUUUGAAACCACCAGGAGCUCCAUGGUGCUUUUGUAAAGAUUUACAGUCUUAGAAAACCUAUGUGGUCACUAUGAGCCAGAAUUGACUUGAUGGCGGUGGGUUUGUUUUUUCAUCUAUUUGUUUUUUGGAGGGUGGGGGGAGUCGGGGACCCUUUCCUGAGGGGGUGACUAAAUCCUUUGGGACGAGAAAGGGGACCAAAGGCUCUGGUGCAGAGACAGGAGCCACCUCAAAUCCAGCUCCUUGGAGCCUGCAGGGCCUGGGGAAGGAGAGGCUGAGGGGCCUCUGAGGAGCUUGGGGAACUACCCCUGUGGGAGAGCUGGGCAGGGAGGAAGCAGAGUUGGAGCCCUGGCAGAACUCCCAACAUCUGGGGCCCACGUGGGCAUAGGCUGGGAGCUGGGUCCAAGAAAUCAACCAGAUUGAAGACCAGGGCGAAACCUCUUCCUGCUUGAUUAGAAAGCGUCACAAUUUAAUUCUGUUAAAGGAUUUUUUUUUUUUUAAGUGAAGACACUGAUUGGCUUAUUACCUUUUAUUCAUGAGAAAAAGAUUUCUUAUCUAUUUAAAAUAUAGUUAGUAUAGGACCAGUGACUGUCUGACCAACCCAUCCUAUGAAAACCGGACAGUGGCCGAUCAGGUAGGGAAAGGAGAAGGAGUGGAAAGAGAAAGGAAAGCUGGAGGUGCAGGGCUGAGAGGACACUCUACUUCCUCUUUGACCCUGUCUUCAGGCUCCAAUGAUAGCGGAUGAGUAACAGUGGGUAGUCACGUGGAGCAUGUGGUCUGUGUGGACUGGCCGUGCACGUGACUUCCCUCUUCAGUGUGCCAAGCCCGCAUACGUGUCCCAUGGCCUUAUGACACUGUGGCUUUGGACAUUUCAGUUUCCAUUUCUUGUCAUUCAGGGUAAAUGAAAUUUACAGAAAACCCAGAGCCCUCAGUGUGCACAGUGGGCACUACGGGGCUCCGGCUAGGUGACCUUUUCUGGGAAACGCACCCACUCCAGCUGCUGGCAAUAGGCCUGCUGACAGCUUGAAGUGGCACCCUCCACUGGAUGCUGCUCUUUGCCAAGGAGAAAUGCCUGCCCAGGCUACGGCUGUCCGCAGGAGAUCCAAUGACUGGCUGAUGUGGGAUUGCAAAGCCAACUGGGACAACUCAAUUUAGGACAACUCUGAAGGGGCCCUCCAGCUCCAGAGCUCCUGAUAGGGUCAGAUGAGGCCUUAGUUGUAACCACAUUGUGGGCCGGUUUCUUCCUCUGCUCAGUCCUGUCUUGCACACUCUCUUCCAGAUGUAUCUGGAAAUUCUCCCCAACAAACCUUCUGCAUGCAACUCUGCCUCUCAGAGUCCUGGAUUCCCAUGAAUCCAAUACAAAACAGUCUGACUCUUGGCUUCAACUUCCUCUUCCACCAAAAGUCAGAUGCCAAUAAGUAAUAAAAUAUCACCACCUUGAGUUCUACUACUUUCCCUUGCCUUAGCCCAUUUCUGGAAGACAAAUAAAUGGGCCCUCAAGAAUCUGAAAGAAAAAUGAAAGAUAUUAGGAGGGAAGGGAGGAGAGGUGCUAAUUCCUACUAGCUAAUUCCUACUCAGGCUUUCAGCUUAGGUGAUACUUAUACCAGGAAACCUUCCCUGAUGCCUCCCAGACUAGGCCAGGUGCCCUCGCUGUCUAUAUGGGCAAAAGCAUAGCUCCUGUGUGUUUCUUCCAGCUUAUCACUUGACUUCUGAAUUAUAAUUGAUGUGGCAAUCUGCUUCCAUAAAGAUUACAGCCUUGGAAACCCUAUGGGGCAGUUCUACUCUGUCCUAUAGGGUCGCUAUGAGUCAGAAUCGACUCGACAGCACUGGGUUUGAUUUUGGUUGGUUUGGGUAUUGACCAGAGAAUGACUAAGUGAUUGACUAUUGGAUCUCAGAUAGACAAGGAGGGGCUGAUAGGCAGAAGCUGGAGGGCUUGGUGAAAGAGAACAGCAGAUAUAGAAGGAGUAAGAGAGAUUAAAGGAGUAGCGGUUAUAAUCAGAAAAGUGUACAAGGUUAUUCCAAGAGUUCAGAGGUAGUUCGAUGCAAACAAACCUGAAAAUCUGCCCAUGGGUGUGAACACUAGUGGAGUGAAACUGAAGGCCAAUGAAGUUGAGCUGAUCAGCUAAAAGUCUUGGGCACUGAAUGGGGGUCCACAUGGGCAACUAAGUAACCGGGUGAUGGAGGAAAUUGGGGUGAAUAGGGACAAGUUUAAAAAAAAAAAAGAAAGAA